rnacentral:rRNA from 1 species
GAUGAACGCUGGCGGCGUGCCUAAUACAUGCAAGUCGAGCGAACAGACGAGGAGCUUGCUCCUCUGACGUUAGCGGCGGACGGGUGAGUAACACGUGGAUAACCUACCUAUAAGACUGGGAUAACUUCGGGAAACCGGAGCUAAUACCGGAUAAUAUAUUGAACCGCAUGGUUCAAUAGUGAAAGACGGUUUUGCUGUCACUUAUAGAUGGAUCCGCGCCGCAUUAGCUAGUUGGUAAGGUAACGGCUUACCAAGGCAACGAUGCGUAGCCGACCUGAGAGGGUGAUCGGCCACACUGGAACUGAGACACGGUCCAGACUCCUACGGGAGGCAGCAGUAGGGAAUCUUCCGCAAUGGGCGAAAGCCUGACGGAGCAACGCCGCGUGAGUGAUGAAGGUCUUCGGAUCGUAAAACUCUGUUAUUAGGGAAGAACACAUGUGUAAGUAACUAUGCACGUCUUGACGGUACCUAAUCAGAAAGCCACGGCUAACUACGUG